rnacentral:rRNA from 1 species
UGUGUAGGCGGUUCUUUAAGUUUGGUGUGAAAUCUCCCGGCUCAACCGGGAGGGUGCGCCGAAUACUGAGGGACUAGAGUACGGGAGAGGAAAGUGGAAUUCCUGGUGUAGCGGUGAAAUGCGUAGAUAUCAGGAGGAACACCGGUGGUGUAGACGGCUUUCUGGACCGUAACUGACGCUGAGACACGAAAGCGUGGGUAGCAAACAA